AUACUCGCUUCGGCAGCACAUAUACUAAAAUUGGAACGAUACAGAAAUUAGCAUGGACCCUGUGCAAGGAAAACACACAAAUUCAUGAAGCACUCCAUAUUUUU
rnacentral:snRNA from 1 species